rnacentral:rRNA from 1 species
GUGGGGAAUAUUGGACAAUGGGCGAAAGCCUGAUCCAGCCAUGCCGCGUGUGUGAAGAAGGUCUUCGGAUUGUAAAGCACUUUAAGUUGGGAGGAAGGGCAGUAAGUUAAUACCUUGCUGUUUUGACGUUACCGACAGAAUAAGCACCGGCUAACUCUGUGCCAGCAGCCGCGGUAAUACAGAGGGUGCAAGCGUUAAUCGGAAUUACUGGGCGUAAAGCGCGCGUAGGUGGUUUUGUAAGUUGGAGGUGAAAUCCCCGGGCUCAACCUGGGAACUGCCUCCAAAACUACUGGGCUAGAGUACGGUAGAGGGUAGUUGAAUUUCCUGUGUAGCGGUGAAAUGCGUAGAUAUAGGAAGGAACACCAGUGGCGAAGGCGACUACCUGGACUGAUACUGACACUGAGGUGCGAAAGCGUGGGGAGCAAACAGGAUUAGAUACCCUAGUAGUCC